ACACGUAGGGGGCGAGCGUUAUCCGGAAUUACUGGGCGUAAAGAGUGCGUAGGUGGCUUUGCAGGCGUAGGGUAUAAGGCGACAGCCCAACUGUCGUUGGCCCCGCGAACUGUAAGGCUUGAGUACAGGAGGGGAAGGCGGAAUUCCUAGUGUAGCGGUGAAAUGCGUAGAUAUUAGGAGGAACACCAGUGGCGAAGGCGGCCUUCUGGACUGUAACUGACACUGAGGCACGAAAGCGUGGGUAGCAAACAGGAUUAGAUACCCUGGUAGUCCACGCCGUAAACGAUGAGCACUAGGUGUCGGGCUCGCAAGAGUUCGGUGCCGGAGCAAACGCAUUAAGUGCUCCGCCUGGGGAGUACGCACGCAAGUGUGAAACUCAAAUGAAUUGACGGGG
rnacentral:rRNA from 1 species